GACAGAGGAUGCAAGCGUUAUCCGGAAUGAUUGGGCGUAAAGCGUCUGUAGGUGGCUUUUCAAGUCCGCCGUCAAAUCCCAGGGCUCAACCCUGGACAGGCGGUGGAAACUACCAAGCUGGAGUACGGUAGGGGCAGAGGGAAUUUCCGGUGGAGCGGUGAAAUGCGCAGAUAUCAGGAGGAACACCGGUGGCGAAGGCGGUUCUCUGGGCAUGUCCUGACGCUGAGGAGCGAAAGUGUGGGGAGCGAACAGG
rnacentral:rRNA from 1 species